rnacentral:lncRNA from 1 species
GGAGGAGAGGGCCGGGUUGAGGGUCGUGGGGUCCUAGCGCCAAACUGACGAGGGGGCGGAAAAGGUGGGCGGGACUAAGUCGCCCUACCCUGUGACGUGCAGUGUAGUUGGGGAAACGCACCGUGGUUCCCCGUCGGGUCAGGAGAUCCCAAGCCCCAGGCUGGCGUGGGCGAAGCGUACAGUCCCUUCACCUUUCGCCACCCAGAAGCACAAGAGUCCAGUUCGCGCCAACUGACCUGUUUCUUCCUUCCUCUCCGGCACUCCGGGAGUCCUGAGAUUGCCUUGCUCGGUUCGUAGGUCUGAGCUUCUCCACCAAGGGUGCUCAGAUUCUCCAGGAAACUCCCUUCAGGGUUAGCAACCGCGGAGUAGGUUUCGGUCCCAAGAUAGAAAGUUUGCAACAGACACAGCAGCUAUGUUACAACCACAGAACAAGGUUUUGCAACAGAAUGGCCUUGAAAUAGAAUACUGUCCAGUUGAAACCUUAAGCAAUCAAAAUGGAAUAUAUGAAACCAUGCCUGCUAGACUUCAUGUGUUGCUUCUUGUAAGGAAAGCUCUUCCAUCCACCUUGUGUGGCCUUGUAUUCGCGGCUGCAUCCACCUCCUCCACAGUGGCAUAUGUGACAAACCCAAAGCCCCUGGAGCACUUGGUGCUUGGAUCUCUCAUGACCACACAGUCCGUGAGUGUUCCCCAUUGGUCAAAAUGGCUCCUCAGGCUCUCAUCGGUUGUUUCAAAGUUCAGCCUCCAAUGAAGAGCUUCCUCAGCUGUUCCAGUUCUUUAGGAAACUCCGCCUUAGACAUGACAGCAGGGGGAAGAGAGACUUUAAUGAUGCUCCCUCUGUUGUGUUCAUGGGCCUAAAUAGGUAUUUUCUACUUUGUACUUUUUUUUCUUAAAGAAGUAAAAUGGUGACCAG